rnacentral:rRNA from 1 species
UAGUCAUAUGCUUGUCUUAAGGAUUAAGCCAUGCAUGUCUAAGUACAAACGAUUUUGUACAGUGAAACUGCGAAUGGCUCAUUACAACAGUUAUAGUUUAUUUGAUCGUGCGGUACUACGUGGAUAACCGUAGGAAAUCUAGAGCUAAUACAUGCACCAUCGUCUUACCAAUGUGUUCAAAUGAACUCAUUGAUAGACGGGAUUUAUUAGAUCAAAAACCGAUCGCUUCCAUUCCAAGAAGCGUGGCGGGAUGAAUCAUAAUAACUUUUUCCGAAUCGCAGGGCUGCGAUUGGCCGGCGGUAAAUCAUUCAAAUUUCUGCCCUAUCAACUUUCGAUGGUAGGGUAGUGGCCUACCAUGGUGUUGACGGGUAACGGAGAAUUAGGGUUCGAUUCCGGAGAGGGAGCCUGAGAAAUGGCUACCACAUCCAAGGAAGGCAGCAGGCGCGCAAAUUACCCAAUCCUGAUUCAGGGAGGUAGCGACAAGAAAUAACGAUAGUUGGCCCAAACGGGUCUGCUUAUUGGAAUGAGGAUAAUUUACACCCCUUCACGAGGAUCCAUU